ACCGUGCUGUCGCCACUUCCUCGCUCAACUGUGUACAGUUGGCCGGUCUGCAUCCAAGGCCAUGAGUUCAGGGUGGACAUGUACUGUCAGGCUUCAGCAGGAAUCACCUCCUGCCAGCUUCCUUUGGCAGGGUACACUGCUUAUUCAUGCAGAGGACCCCUCCUUAUUUGCCAGGACAAUCUAUCCUGAAAUCACCCUUUCAGCCACUGACUCCCCUCCGCAACCUGUCUUAGCAGGAGGCAUCUUCAGGACAGCUUCCCAGGGAUGGCCCUGGGAAUCAUGCUUAGCUGAAUUCAGGAUCCUGUUUUCUAGAAACUGACGUUUUAGAAACAGCUUCAGACAUAGAAGGAGCUCAACAAACGUGAGUUCAAAAGACUGAAACCCAUCAAGUGAAUUAAGUAAAUAGGACAACCACCAUCCAGCCCCACUAAACAAGUGGACAAAUUCCGUAGGCAGGCUAUCCCUGCAAAUUUCAGUUCUCAGAAAGCAGAGCACGGUGCUAUGACAGGAAAAAAGGUCUCAGGGGCAUUUCUGUGGCCCUAGAAGGAUGGCCUAUUUCCUGAAGGUAUGCAUCUAUACCUAGGCUGUCUCUCAAUACACUCAGCCGCCCGAGGACCAUCUUACAGAUGAGGAGCAAGACUCAGAGAGCAGAACAAUUGGCUCAGGGCAACCCACCGAACAGGAGUAUACCACAGAGGUUAAGAUUCAGGGUUCUGGAGCUGGAUAUCCCUGGUCACUGUUCCAGCUCUCCCUCCAACCAAUGGUAUAACCUUGGGUGACAUCUACUCUGAAUCUUUGUUUCUUCAUCCAACAGGAGCUGCUCCACAGUGUUAUCAAGGAUUGAAUGAGAUAAUCCAAGUAGGAUGCUGAGUGCCAGGCCCUGUGCACACGUAGUCAGAUCAUCAUGCAAUUAACACGCAAACCUACAGCUGUCUUAUUCUAGACCUCUUCACUGCCUUUGUGUGCACAGCUUCAUGCAACAAAAGACUCUCAGCUAAAUCUGGUUUUGGAUUUACUUCUCAACUCAUUGCAAAAUGUAUUUGAGUUUCCUGUUUCAUGUAUCAACUCCUAUGCAGAAAUGUGUGUAACAAUUGGGAGGAGAGUAUCACUGCCUCCAAAGACAGCUACAGAAAGGUCCUUCAAGCCUAUGGGGGCUGCUACGUACAGCUCCACAGGUAGCUGACUGCACAAGUCUAAGAGAAUGCUAUUUCCAUAGACAAUGAGUCAUGGGCAUCCUAAAGUCUGGUUUCUACCCCAGUCAAAUCCAGAAUGAGAUCUGAGUGGAACUGAGUCAUGGCACUGCCUGCUCUGCUGCCCCAUCCCUUUCUUUCCUUUUGUUUUCCCUGUUGGUAAACUUCAAACUACAUUAAUUUGUUCUCAGCCACAGCAAGGUUUAAAAGUUAGGGAUAUGGUUGGGCACAGUGGCUGUCAUCCUAGCACUUUGGGAGGCUGAGGCAGGAGGAUGGUUUGAGCUCAGGAGUUCAAGACCAGCUUGGACAACACAGUGAGACCUCAUUUCCACAAAACAUUUUUAAGAACUAGCCAGGCUUGGUGGUCUGCAUCUGUAGUCCCAGCUACUUGGGUGGCUGAGGUGGGAGGAUGGUUUAAGCCCAAUAGGCUGAGGCUGUAAUGAGCCAUGAUCAUGCCACUGCACUCCAGCCUGGGCGACAGAGCAAAUACCUGCCUCAAAAAAAAAAAAAAAAAAAAAGGGUAGGAAUAUAGCAAGAGGUGGUAGCAAAGACAUGGGUCCCGCCCCACACAGCUAGGGGAAAGAACAGGGGGAUUACCUGCUACUGAAACCUUGCUCAAUUGGAGGCCAGGAGCUAACACCAGGACUUGUCACAUUUAUAAAAACAAUCACACAUUAAAUUCUCAGGAGGUUUUACUCAUCUGAGAGUGAGGCCGCAAUACCAUUUCCCUCUCCUUUCUAAGGGAUGGGUGUGUUUCUUUUCCCAAUGUGGAGACAGGGGACACUCACCUUUGUCCUCAUCAUGGGCAUGGAAAAACCAUCUCUGAUUUCCAAACCAGUGGCAGAGCCACCAGCAAAGGCCAACUUCACAAAGAGGCGCAGGAUCCAGAAGACUAUGCUUCAGCUGUUUUGGAAAUGGGUAUGUUUUUUCCCCAAAGAAACAAUGUCAUGAAUGGUAGUUAAGUUCUCAGGCUGGCCUGCAAACUUAAUCCAUUAUAUACCCGCAUCAGAUGCUACUGAACCUGACCAUGUCCCAUAACAAUGUUUCUAUAGGAAAGAAGUACCCAAUUUCAACCUGGGACAUGGAUUUUAGUGACAAGGGGAAAAGGGCAGGGGGAGGAAAGGAAGAGGCUCCUGCCUUUGAAAGAAUGACAUAUUUUAUGUGUUUACUAAAUCAUCCAUACCUACCAUGCACAGACUCUAGGAUUAGUCAAUAAAAUAGUCCUUGCCCUAAAAUAAACACAGGCGCAGUGGUACAAAAUGACAGAUAAACAGUACUGGAUGACACAAUGUGAUAGGAGGAGAUCAAGAAGGGCUUGUCUAAGCUGAGAUGGAAGGAAGACAGUGUAUGUUGGAGGUUCCAGAAGGCGGGAAGAUGCAGCGUUCCAGAUGAACAGAAGAGCACGUGCAAAAAAGGCCUGGCAGUACAAGAGAACAGUGCGUGCCUGGAGGGUCUCUAAGGAGUCCAGUGUGGCCAGAGUGCCAGGGAUGUGGCAUGGCAGUGAGAGGAUUAGGUUAGAGCAAGAGAGGCAGGAGGAGGCCAGGCCUGGAAAUGGCUUCAGGAAAGCCAUGCUGGGGGGUAGGCAGAGCUCUCACCCCAAGGCAAAUGGAGAGCGGUGGAAAGGAUUAAAAGUUAGGGAUGUGGCCACGAGGUGGAAGCAACCCAAAUAUCUGCUGGGGAUGAACAGAUAAACAUAUACAUACAAUGGAUUAUUCAGGCCUAAAAAAGGAAGGAAAUCCUGACACAGGCUCCAACACUGGAUGAGCUCUGAGGACAUAAUGCUAAGUGAAAUAAGCCCGCCACAAAAGGACAGAUACUGUGAUUCCACUUCCACGAGGUGUCUAGCAGAAUCACACUCACAGAAACAGAAAGGAGAAUGGUGGUUAUCAGGCACUGGGGGGAAGGGGGAAAAUGCGAGUUGCUGAAUGGGUUCAGAGCUUCAGUUUUGCAAGAGGAAAAAGUCCUGGAGAUCUGUGGCACAACACUACAGAACUCUACACUUGAAAAUGAUUAAGACGGUAUAUGUUAUAUUAUGCACACUCCACCACAACUAAAAAUUAAAAUUUUUUUAAAAACCAA